rnacentral:rRNA from 1 species
AACGGUCCAGACUCCUACGGGAGGCAGCAGUGGGGAAUUUUGGACAAUGGGCGCAAGCCUGAUCCAGCAAUGCCGCGUGAGUGAAGAAGGCCUUCGGGUUGUAAAGCACUUUUGUCAGGAACGAAACGGUUCGGGCUAAUAUCCUGGGCUAAUGACGGUACCUGAAGAAUAAGCACCGGCUAACUACGUGCCAGCAGCCGCGGUAAUACGUAGGGUGCAAGCGUUAAUCGGAAUUACUGGGCGUAAAGCGUGCGCAGGCGGUUGUGCAAGACAGAUGUGAAAUCCCCGGGCUUAACCUGGGAAUUGCAUUUGUGACUGCACGGCUAGAGUGUGUCAGAGGGGGGUAGAAUUCCACGUGUAGCAGUGAAAUGCGUAGAUAUGUGGAGGAAUACCGAUGGCGAAGGCAGCCCCCUGGGAUAACACUGACGCUCAUGCACGAAAGCGUGGGGAGCAAACAGGAUUAGAUACCCUGGUAGUCCACGCCCUAAACGAUGUCUACUAGUUGUCGGGUCUUAAUUGACUUGGUAACGCAGCUAACGCGUGAAGUAGACCGCCUGGGGAGUACGGUCGCAAGAUUAAAACUCAAAGGAAUUGACGGAA